AACGAACGCUGGCGGCAUGCCUAACACAUGCAAGUCGAACGAUUGCCUUCGGGUGAUAGUGGCGCACGGGUGCGUAACGCGUGGGAAUCUGCCCUUAGGUUCGGAAUAACAGCUGGAAACGGCUGCUAAUACCGGAUGAUAUCGCGAGAUCAAAGAUUUAUCGCCUGAGGAUGAGCCCGCGUUGGAUUAGGUAGUUGGUGGGGUAAAGGCCUACAAAGCCGACGAUCCAUAGCUGGUCUGAGAGGAUGAUCAGCCACACUGGGACUGAGACACGGCCCAGACUCCUACGGGAGGCAGCAGUGGGGAAUAUUGGACAAUGGGCGCAAGCCUGAUCCAGCAAUGCCGCGUGAGUGAUGAAGGCCCUAGGGUUGUAAAGCUCUUUUACCCGGGAAGAUAAUGACUGUACCGGGAGAAUAAGCCCCGGCUAACUCCGUG
rnacentral:rRNA from 1 species